ensembl:lncRNA
CCCCCCCCCCCCCCCCCCCCCGGGAUUGAGGAACCCCUCUCCAUAUUCAGAACAUUCCCUGUGAAGUUCAGAAAGAGAUAUCAAUCUCACUUUAAGGCGGUGGGCCUUCAUUUGUUUGUGAGAGAUGCGGAGCGCUGCUCAGAUGACUCCGCCGAUUCUUCAAAUCCCACUUACAGAGACGGAGGAGGUGCUCGGCCUUAUUUGGAGCUCUGGUCUGAUGAUCCUGAUCAGAGUGUGCCAGGCAUCCAGACCUGGCCGCGGUUUGGUUUUAGCAAGCCAAUGGGCCAUGCAGGCCUCUUUUUUUUUUCCCCCCACAGUGGACUUCUGAGUGGAGUCUUUGCCCUCACAUGCGUUCAGUUGGGCCUCCUUUACCCACACUAUUGAUUGCAGGUGAUGUUCUGGACUCAGUCCAGCUGACCUCGAAGGGGAGUCAGAUACAUCAUUGUCCGAAGAGGAACCUCUGGAGGCCAGACAGAAGCUGCUCACGUGUUAAGCAAUCUGACUUUGUCCAGCCGCAGAAUCUGUCAACAAACGCUUUUGGACACGAGCGUCGGACUUGCUUAGCAUGAACCGUUGCAUUCAAUGGAGAAACAAAAAAAUAACAUUGAUGCUCCGCAGACAAACAUUCAUGCCUCAGCGAGUGUGUUUCCUGAAUGACCAUCCGUGCACAGCAUGUUCCUGACUUCACCUUUUCCUUCUGC